AGCGAACGCUGGCGGCAGGCCUAACACAUGCAAGUCGAACGAACUCUUCGGAGUUAGUGGCGGACGGGUGAGUAACACGUGGGAACGUGCCUUUAGGUUCGGAAUAACUCAGGGAAACUUGUGCUAAUACCGAAUGUGCCCUUCGGGGGAAAGAUUUAUCGCCUUUAGAGCGGCCCGCGUCUGAUUAGCUAGUUGGUGAGGUAAAGGCUCACCAAGGCGACGAUCAGUAGCCGGUCUGAGAGGAUGAUCAGCCACAUUGGGACUGAGACACGGCCCAAACUCCUACGGGAGGCAGCAGUGGGGAAUCUUGCGCAAUGGGCGAAAGCCUGACGCAGCCAUGCCGCGUGAAUGAUGAAGGUCUUAGGAUUGCAAAAUUCUUUCACCGGGGACGAUAAUGACGGUACCCGGAGAAGAAGCCCCGGCUAACUUCGUG
rnacentral:rRNA from 1 species